AUUGAACGCUGGCGGCAGGCCUAACACAUGCAAGUCGAGCGGAUGAAGGGAGCUUGCUCCUGGAUUCAGCGGCGGACGGGUGAGUAAUGCCUAGGAAUCUGCCUGGUAGUGGGGGAUAACGUCCGGAAACGGGCGCUAAUACCGCAUACGUCCUGAGGGAGAAAGUGGGGGAUCUUCGGACCUCACGCUAUCAGAUGAGCCUAGGUCGGAUUAGCUAGUUGGUGGGGUAAAGGCCUACCAAGGCGACGAUCCGUAACUGGUCUGAGAGGAUGAUCAGUCACACUGGAACUGAGACACGGUCCAGACUCCUACGGGAGGCAGCAGUGGGGAAUAUUGGACGAGGGGCGAAAGCCUGAUCCAGCCAUGCCGCGUGUGUGAAGAAGGUCUUCGGAUUGUAAAGCACUUUAAGUUGGGAGGAAGGGCAGUAAGUUAAUACCUUGCUGUUUUGACGUUACCAACAGAAUAAGCACCGGCUAACUUCG
rnacentral:rRNA from 1 species